UACGUAGGGGGCAAGCGUUGUCCGGAAUCAUUGGGCGUAAAGCGCGUGUAGGCGGUUCAGUAAGUCUGCUGUGAAAGUCCAGGGCUCAACCCUGGGAUGCCGGUGGAUACUGCUGGACUAGAGUGCGGAAGAGGCGAGUGGAAUUCCCGGUGUAGCGGUGAAAUGCGCAGAUAUCGGGAGGAACACCAAUUGCGAAGGCAGCUCGCUGGGAGGUUACUGACGCUGAGACGCGAAGCGUGGGGAGCAAACAGG
rnacentral:rRNA from 1 species